AAAACAUUUAUUUAAGAUAACUACACAUAAACCUUCACAGACUUCCACAAUGCAACAAAUAAGCCUUCAUUUUGCCAGCUCACAUUUUUUCCCUUGAACAUCACACUGCUGUUUUUCUUCCCGUUCAGCUAGGCUGCUUAAAUAAGUAAAUCUCUGUCUUCCGAGUGCUGCAUAAUUCGCAUUUAAGUUCUUAGCCUACAUAUACCCGUUCUGAUCCUUCUGCAUGUAACUCCUCAGCCUCUCGCUUAUAUAUCAGCUUGUAUUCAGGAUUAUUAAUGCUGGAUGGAAUUUACAAUCAGGAUAGUGCUUCAGUGCACUGCAGAGGCUUCCAAAGCAAGAAUAUCACGUGGUUACAUGAUGGGAACUUCAGCUGAAUGCUCCCUGCAGCUGGCAAAAUCCUGGCUGGAGCCUCUUGGCAUUUGCAUAUGCUGCUCAAGCUGGUCAUCCCUGUCCUCUGGUCAGCACAAGCAGCUCUUGGCCUUCAGCUCCACAGCAGCUCCUGUACGCACCUGAAAGCAAUGCUGCAGUUCCUGCAAAUGCCUGCCUCUGAGCUUGUUUUGUGCCCUACAACACAUCUGAGGAUCCAAAAGCACUUGCAGAAGGGAGGAGGAGAUUCCAAUAAAGUGAUGCAGAAGCCUCAGCAUCUUUUACACUUAUUUGUGUUGUUGCUACAGAGCUUAGAAUAACCAACCCACAGCCAUAGUGGAUCACAGCUAAUGUCAUCCAAACUCUCAUACGUGCUACAGAAGUAUAAUUUGGAACUUCUGCUUCAGAGCAGGAAAGGAGGAGCAUUCACAAAGCUCAAAGAAAAUUCCCCAUUGGAAGAGGUAUUUGGCAUUUCCCACUAGGGGAAGACUAAGUUACAGAUCCACUGGAUUGCAACUGGACACGCAUGCACAGCUACACUUGACAGGUCAACAUGUGGUGUAACCCUGCCUUCGUGACGUGCCAGGGCUAAGCCCUGCCUGAAGCAGCUUGUACCUGCUCAAGCAGUCUGUACUUUAUAUUUCUUUAUUCUUCUCGCAAGAGCUACUGGAAAGCUUAGGAGAUGUGAUUUUUAACAUGCAGCAUUCAGCUGCCUGAGAGGAUCUGGUCAGAGAUUUUAUAGCUUUUCAGAGUUUUUAACUCAAUCACACAAAGUCUCAAUGGCUGUCUGCUUGAUCUAUUUUUUUUCCCUUUCUUUUUGUUGAAUUUCCAAAGAAGCAGAUUGGUCCAGUCCUGUGAUGAUUUUAAUCUGUUUGUGUUCCAGGACUGUAAAAGCAGUUGUCUGCUGUACUGUAGUCUUCCCCUUGAAACAGUGUUCAAACUAUUGUAUGCAUUCUUUGCACCUCAGAUUUUUGCAGCUUCUGAAAUUCUUUCUUCCUCAUUUUAUCUUGUCUGGGAGAUUCAGAUUUCAAGUUCUUCAGAGCAGGCAUCUCUUUUUCAGAGCUGCUUUUUGGAACAAGUUGCCCAGAGAU
ensembl:lncRNA